rnacentral:rRNA from 1 species
AUUGAACGCUGGCGGCAGGCUUAACACAUGCAAGUCGAGCGGGGUGAGGUGCUUCGGUACUGAUCCUAGCGGCGGACGGGUGAGUAAUGCUUAGGAAUCUGCCAUUUAGUGGGGGACAACAUUCCGAAAGGAAUGCUAAUACCGCAUACGUCCUACUGGAGAAAGCCGGGGAUCUUCGGACCUUGCGCUAAAUGAUGAGCCUAAGUCGGAUUAGCUAGUUGGUGGGGUAAAGGCCUACCAAGGGGACGAUCUGUAGCGGGUCUGAGAGGAUGGUCAGCCACACUGGGACUGAGACACGGCCCAGACUCCGACGGGAGGCAGCAGUGGGGAAUAUUGGACAAUGGGCGGAAGCCUGAUCCAGCCAUGCCGCGUGUGUGAAGAAGGCCUUUUGGUUGUAAAGCACUUUAAGCGAGGAGGAGGCUACCUGGAUUAAUACUCUGGGAUAGUGGACGUUACUCGCAGAAUAAGCACCGGCUAACUCUGUGCCAGCCGCCGCCGUAAUAC